rnacentral:lncRNA from 1 species
AUGGCAUACAAGUUAAAUAUUGCUCUAUGUUACAAAAGCCGCUCAAUCUUUUGUUUUAAACCCUAUCCAUGUUUCAUGCAUAUUUGUUAACUCCUUAUUGGUGUAUAAUCUGUCCAAAUCAUUUGAACAGAGCUCCUGACUUUCACGGCAAAAAAAAAAAUUCAAAUUCUAAAUUUUAAUUUGAACUAGAAUCAUAUAAAAACGGGGGAGUAGCUAGUUUUGGGUGACCUUCAGACAAGUAGCAGCACCAAAACAUUGGAAUCUGAUACUAUGAGAAUUGAGAAACACUAUCAUUGUAUACAGUAUUGUACAUACGAACAGCGGCCAAGGUUGAUUGGAAUGUGGGGACAGACGGAUCAAUACAUACAUGUAUCUGACGCUGCAAGACUUAUUUAUGCCACUAAUUGGUUGUGUGCAUCAUUUUUAUGCAA